GGUCGAUUAGCUCAGUUGGUUAGAGCGUGGUAUGUGUUCACCUUACUUAACUGCUACUCAAGCAUGGUACUAAUACCUAAUAGGUGCUAAUAUCAUGUGUUAACGCCAAGGUCGCGGGUUCGACCCCCGUAUUGACCA